rnacentral:tRNA from 1 species
GUUUAUAUAUAGCUCAGUUGGUAGAGUGCUUGCCUUGCAUGCACAAGGGCCUGGCUUCAAUCCUCAGCACCAUACACA